GGAUUGUGCCUACAGCAACAUGAAAGCUCCUCUGCCGCAUGUCAGCAGAACAGGAAAAUGGAUGUCACUUUUCUGUAACAUCAAGAAUUUCUGUUGAGAUCAAGAGAACAUUGGGCAGGGAUUUUAGCAUGCACGGUAUUUGCUGCAGAGAACUAUACAGAAGUAUUGCACCAUGUCCAGCAGACAGCUACAUUCCAUGAUUGUGAAUCCACCUCCCCCAGAGCACAUAAACCGUAAAAAAAACGGUCGUCUAACUAAUCAGCUUCAGUACCUGGAAAAGGUGGUGCUGAAGAUAAUAUGGAGACACAACUUUUCCUGGCCAUUCCAACAACCUGUAGAUGCUGUAAAACUAAAUAUUCCAGAUUAUUAUAAAAUAAUAAAGACCCCAAUGGACCUGAGUACAAUAAGAAAGAGGCUGGAAUA